UUCGAGUAGCAUGGGCGAAGCCCUGUAGCUUCAUGCACGAGUUUUCAAAUCUGGAAGCCCAAUUCGAAAAGAAUCUGGUUCGUAUUCCCAUCUUCUUCCCGGAUAUGAAGUUAGGUCAUAUACUAAAGCAUCAGUUUUUUUAAAGGAAUAAAAGAGUUAUGCUAGAGAAACUUGCACAUUGUGCUUGCAGAUGAGCAAGAUUAUGAAAAAGAUAGAUCGUAUUCUUGCAAUCUUCCCUCCCGUGAUGAAGUCAUCUCGGCCUUAUCCAAAGGAGAGAAAGUCCAAGGACGACAACGAUGGAAAUUGAUUUAAGAAGCGUAAAUAUGUGGAAAACACAAUAAGAAACUCUGCCUUAGACAUACGUUGUUGAGGUUGAGAUCGAGGAAAAUAGUUCGACAGUGGACAACAAAAUUAUAGAAGAUUCAGAUCGAGUAAGGUUACAUCCAAAGAAAUAUGCACAAGGUAAAAGACGUGUGAUAUCCUCAGAAUUGCUCUCAUUCGAAUGUAGUAUUGGUGCAUUCAUGUACCUCUCUUUUACUCGAGUGUCACACAUUACUUACUCAUCGCAUCUAAAAGUGAAGACUAUUUCCACAAACCGACACGAGUCCUUAUCUCACGAGUUCUUAUGAUUAACUCAAUUCUUUUAAGUCUUUGUUAGUCAUCUUAUCUUCUAGAUUACUCUCCUCAAUCGAUUCAUUCAUGUACUUAUACUUUACUCAAGUGUC